rnacentral:rRNA from 1 species
GGGUGAGUAACACGUGGAUAACCUACCUGUAAGACUGGGAUAACUUCGGGAAACCGGAGCUAAUACCGGAUAAUAUUUUGAACCGCAUGGUUCAAAAGUGAAAGACGGUCUUGCUGUCACUUAUAGAUGGAUCCGCGCUGCAUUAGCUAGUUGGUAAGGUAACGGCUUACCAAGGCAACGAUGCAUAGCCGACCUGAGAGGGUGAUCGGCCACACUGGAACUGAGACACGGUCCAG